UACAGAGGGGCAAGCGUUGUUCGGAAUUACUGGGCGUAAAGGGCGCGUAGGCGGCCCGCUAAGUCGAACGUGAAAUCCCCGGGCUCAACCCGGGAACUGCGUCCGAUACUGGUGGGCUUGAAUCCGGGAGAGGGAUGCGGAAUUCCAGGUGUAGCGGUGAAAUGACGUAGAUAUCUGGAGGAACACCGGUGGCGAAGGCGGCAUCCUGGACCGGUAUUGACGCUGAGGCGCGAAAGCCAGGGGAGCAAACGGGG
rnacentral:rRNA from 1 species